rnacentral:sRNA from 1 species
CAAAAGAAAUACAUCUUGUCUCUCCCAAAAGAAAUACAGCUUGUCUCUCUCAAAAGAAAUACAUCUUGUCUCUCCAAAAAGAAAUACAGCUUGUCUCUCCCAAAAGAAAUACAGCUUGUCUCCUGUAUUUCUUUUGGGAGAGACAAGCUGUAUUUCUUUUGGGAGAGACAAGCUGUAUUUCUUUUGGGAGAGACAAGAUGUAUUUCUUUUGGGAGAGACAAGAUGUAUUUCUUUUGGGACUUGUCUCUCCAAAAGAAAUACAUCUUGUCUCUCCCAAAAGAAAUACAG